rnacentral:tRNA from 1 species
CGGGUAUAGUUCAGUGGUAGAACUUCAGCUUCCCAAGCUGACCAUGGGGGUUCGAUUCCCCUUACCC